rnacentral:lncRNA from 1 species
AAGUAAUGGAAAGAACGAUUGUGUUAAAAAUGCUGAGACACAGGUCAACUGAGACUUGUGAUGUUAUUACCUUUCUGCUUGGCAGUACCUCCGCAAUACAAUAUCGGACUGCAGAGUUCAGCAGGAAGGAAGACAAUGUAAUGAUGAUUCUAUUUUUCAUGUAGCUUUUCUUUGUACUUGUAGAAUAUCCUACAUCACAUUGCUUCAAAAACCAGGAACUGCCACACUGUGUUCUGCCGCUUGCAACAAGUUGACAAAUGGACAUGAAUUUCACCUCUGAGAGUUUCAUAAGCUGGUAUUGUCCUGACAUUGCAAAGUGUUUACCACAAAGAUCCUGUACAUCCAUCAUCCAGGGCCAGCGUUUGCCUGAUUCUAAUUCCACUGACAUUGAAAUCUACAGCUCUCUGUGAGUCAUUUAUCACACUUAUUAAAAUGUUCCAUUGUGAAUUGGAAUAGCAAUUCACUAUUAUUUCAGAGUGCUGCCCAAGGGGCAUUCUAUGCAGCAAAUCUUAAUGCUUUAUUGAAAUAGUAGUUUGGUUUUAAUAAAUGAUUCUUUGCAAAGGUAUCUUGCUUUCAUUAUGAAAGGUGAUGUUCGCUUUCUAAAUCUGGCAUCCUUGCCUAAGAUUAUGUAGAUAUCUCGGUUUAAUAUUGCAUUUUCCUGCCCUAAAUAGUCCAUCCCUAAUAUUUGAACAAUGAUAUGUCAAUUAGAUUAAUUAGACUAUUGUGUAAGAAGUAUCUUUUAAAAUUCUCUUUGAACUGGAGUCAAAUUACCAACAUAUACUGAAGAACUUUGAAAUAACAGAUACAUUUCAUAUGAAUAAAAAUAAAUUUUUUUCAUCAGAAAGGAGGCAUUUUCACAAUAGAGCAGAACAUUUUUGAAUAGAACUUACUAUUUUGUACAGCAGACUUUCUCCC